CCUUUUACCCCCCCCGGAAGCCUUGUAUCCCAAGUCCGCACCCACCUGUCCGAGUAUAAGUGGUCCUGUGCGGGCGAGGCCUGUACUGUGGUGGGGAAGCCCUCUUGACCGGGUCAAAGGGGGACCACCCGCAGCCGUUGAUUUCCCCCCAACGGUCCACAGAUCAAACGCAGCGUCGUCUUCGGUUCGCGCCCGCCGUUUCUCCCGGCGGAGUCCCCGGAGAUCAAGAUAUGAUCGGCAGCUCAGAGGUUUCCUUUGAGCAACCCUGGUUCCGUAGGUGAACCUGCGGAAGGAUCAUUACCGAGAUAGGGUCCUUGGGGCCCGACCCUCCCACCCUGUGUGAACCUACCUCUGUUGCUUUGGCGGGCCGCGGGGCCCACCGGCCCCCCGUCGACCCCGGUGGACGAGCGCCCGUCAAAGACCCCCGAAAACCUUGUUUCUUUGCCGUCCGAGCCAUUGCGAAAUAAGCAAAACUUUCAACAACGGAUCUCUUGGUUCCGGCAUCGAUGAAGAACGCAGCGAAAUGCGAUAAGUAAUGUGAAUUGCAGAAUUCAGUGAAUCAUCGAAUCUUUGAACGCACAUUGCGCCCUCCGGUAUUCCGGGGGGCAUGCCUGUUCGAGCGUCAUUACGCCCCUCAAGCCCGGCUUGGUAAUUGGGUGCCGCCCCCGGGGGCGCCCCCGAAACGUAGCGGCGACGCGGUCGAGUCUUCAAGCGCAGUAAAACUUUCGGUUUCGCUUGCGGAGGCUUGAACGCGCCCGCCGGACAACCCCCCACCAUUGUAUGGUUGACCUCGGAUCAGGGAGGGAUACCCGCUGAACUUAAGCAUA
rnacentral:rRNA from 1 species